rnacentral:rRNA from 1 species
CGAAAGGGCGAGUAAUGCGAUCGAACGUACCCCAAGGUGGAGGAUAGCGUCGGGAAACCGGCAGUAAUACUCCAUGUGCUCUUCGGAGGAAAGCUUUGGCGCCUUGGGAGCGGCGAUCGUCCUAUCAGGUAGUUGGUGAGGUAACGGCUCACCAAGCCGAAGACGGGUAGCGGGUGUGAGAGCAUGACCCGCCGCAUCGGAACUGAGACACUGUCCGGACUCCUACGGGAGGCUGCAGCGACGAAUCUUCCGCAAUGGGCGCAAGCCUGACGGAGCAAUGCCGCGUGUGGGAUGAAGCGUCUUCGACGUGUAAACCACUGUCAGAUUCUAGGAACACUGACCAGAAUCAGAGGAAGGGCCGGCUAACCUCGUGCCAGCAGCCGCGGUAAUACGAGGGGCCCGAGCGUUAAUCAGAAUCACUGGGCUUAAAGCGUGCGCAGGCGGUUCAGCAAGCGUCUUGUGAAAUCCCUCGGCUCAACCGGGGAAGUGCAGGGCGAACUGCUGGACUUGAGGCAGGUAGGGGCUGAUGGAACCAUGAGUGGAGCGGUGAAAUGCGUAGAUAUUCAUGGGAACGCCGAUGGGGAAGCCGAUCAGCUGGGCCUGUCCUGACGCUCAGGCACGAAAGCGUGGGGAGCAAACAGGAUUAGAUACCCUGGUAGUCCACGCCGUAAACGAUGCACACUAGGUCGG